rnacentral:rRNA from 1 species
AACGAACGCUGGCGGCAGGCCUAACACAUGCAAGUCGAACGAAGUCUUCGGACUUAGUGGCGCACGGGUAAGUAACACGUGGGAAUAUACCUUUCGGUGGGGAGUAACAGCGGGAAACUGCUGCUAGUACCGCAUACGCCCUUUUGGGGAAAGAUUUAUCGCCGAGGGAUUAGCCCGCGUCCGAUUAGCUAGUUGGUAAGGUAACGGCUUACCAAGGCUACGAUCGGUAGCUGGUCUGAGAGGAUGAUCAGCCACACUGGGACUGAGACACGGCCCAGACUCCUACGGGAGGCAGCAGUGGGGAAUAUUGGACAAUGGGCGCAAGCCUGAUCCAGCCAUGCCGCGUGAGUGAUGAAGGCCUUAGGGUUGUAAAGCUCUUUCGACGGGGACGAUGAUGACGGUACCCGUAGAAGAAGCCCCGGCUAACUUCGUGCCAGCCGCCGCCGUAAUAC